CGUCCCGCAGGAGCUGAUUAAAUGGGUCCUAUUAUACUUCCUGAGCUAAGCUUGAUCUUUCAUUGUCCAGCCGGCCCAGCUCCCGGGACCGUGAGCUCCAUUUUCACUGCGGACGAUUGCAAGUGCCAAAAGUGGGAAUCACCGGUGGUGAAAAAGUUUUAUGGGUUUCCCCUUUGCCAUUUCCAUCUAGAUGACAUCAUAAAACGCCACAGGAAAGAGCAGACGGAGGGCAGCGCCACGGGGGACCGGCGGCAGCAGCAGGUGAAGAACAGGAACGUGGCAUUCGGGUCCGGGCGGCCCCGAUUCCGCGCCUGGAUGCAGAGGAAUUUGCAAGGACCUAACCGUUUUAGAAGAGGGUUUGGACAACAACAACACAACCGGAGACAGUUCAGGAACACUGCACCCGGCCCCAGGAGAAGGGCAGCUGCUGCAUUAAACAGAGUGAGCCCUUUGAAUCGCCAGGCAUCGGCUCAGGAGGGCAACAGGAACGACGAGGCUUUCGCCAAAAGCAGCGGGCAGCCCGAGGGACGGCGACGGCCACCCCCAGGCCCCAAGAGAUUCCGAGCGGCUGCUGCCAGCACCCACGCCCCGGGGAGAAGGCCUUUCCUGCUGAACCGGGGACCAGCCUUCCAGCAGAAGCGGAUGCCGCAGCGGUUCUCCAAAGCCAACUUUCAGAGAGGGCAGAUGGAUGCUAAUGGAGAAGGGAAACCACCCAGGAGGAGAAGGUGGCAAGUGAAACCCAGCCCCGGAGCGGUUCUGACGGUUUCUGUGGCUAAUCCCCAGGCGGGCCAGGUUGGCGCGUAAGUAAAUGAGGUGAUUUGUUCAGAUGGGAGCCCUACAAAAGCCAUGGCAAAUCCCUUUAGCAUUACUGCAGCUCCCCUUCUUCUAUAAUGAGUGCACAGAGAAUGGUUCACAUCCAAAAUGGUUGGCAAAUGAUGUUUUGGCGUAUCUGAAAGGAGACGAUCAUUACCCUGCGCUCGUUUGGUAUCCGGAGUAAGGAGAAACAGAAGGAGGUGGCAGCAGGAGGUGGCAGGUUGGCCAUGCCCUUGGUGGGGUGUCAGGGAAAAUGCUGUGCACCCCAAAGGGAUGCGGUGGGCUGGCUGUGCCAGAGGAGGCCAGCAGAGGCUGGAAGGGGAUGGUGUCACCCCUGGGCUGAGCUGGUGACCCAGGCACCCAGCGAAGGGCAGAGAGAGGGGUGGGGUAGGGCUCAUGUCAUCUCCUGGGUGCAGAGGGCCCCCCGUGGUAGCCCUGAUGUGAUGCGGUCCCCAGCGCAGGGACACUGCACGGUGUGCGGGUGUCUCCUUGACACCUUGCUGGUUUGCAGAUGAUGGGACGUGAGCUGCCUCAGCAUCCGCGGUGACCGCAGGUCUGUGCUUUCCUCAGGCCCGGAUCCAAGCGGCCGUUCCUGCGAAGCCGGAGGCCCCCGCCGCCGCCAGCCAAGCCCCAGCCCAAGGGGGUGCUGCUGAGGUUCAACUUCCGCGCCAUGGCCAACCAGGUAGAGGGUUGUCGACGGGACAGGCGGCGCCUGGCACCUUCCAGCAGCCCUGCCACUGGGCUCCUAACGUCACGCUCAGGUGUCUGGGGCUGCCAGCUGGGUUUGUCUGGCAUAACCCGGGAGGCAAGUCCCAUAGCCGCGUUGGCUGGGUCGCUCGUGCGACUGAAGGCACCUGAGAAGACUGUUCAGCAACUGCAGACUCAGCCCAGUUUUCCCAACUCUGUUGGGUCCUCUUGGCCUAUCCAUGUGCUUGCUCAGAGCAGGGAGAUGCUGCUUGUGAGUGGUCCUGGCCGGGGGGGACCAUUUCACUGUCGGUGCUCCCUAUUCCUCAGGGACACACAGCGCUUCUGGGCUUUGCUCUCUCUUUGCUUUGGUGACCUUCUCGGUGCCACGUUUUACACUGAAGUAUGGUCCAAGAGCCCUGGGGCAAGUCAGAAAUCCUGCUCCACCUUCUUCAUUGCCGGCAUUUCUUGUCUGGACGGUUUGGUUUUACUUCAUGCCUUGUGCUCAAAUGCCAUUUGCUUGCUCCUGCUGAGGACGCCUGGUAUCUUGGGGCUGGGCACUGCUUGGAGGUUUUCCAGAUGCACACAGUCUGUCGAGCUCCUUGUCUCCGUUUGCUGAGUGGUUUAAUUGACUAACCGGCUGCCCAGCACCGUCCUGACUGAUGGGCUCUAAUCAAUACCCUGCUGCAAGUGUGGCCACGCUUUUCCAGGAGCCGCGGGACUGACUGGCUCUCCCUUUCCCCCGCAGACCAGCCUGACGCUGGAUGAGAGGUUCUCUGGGCUGAGGAAUAAGAGGCGCUUUACAGCAGCCCGGAGCGCCGGCCGGACGGUCACCAUGCCUUAGCACCACCUGCCCCUCGCAGGGGCUGCCCGAAACAGUCCGGGCCCCGUACCGGGCAGCUCAAUAAAACUUGAUAGAUUUCCUCCGAGAGCGCUGAU
rnacentral:lncRNA from 1 species